rnacentral:rRNA from 1 species
GAGUUUGAUUAUGGCUCAGGAUGAACGCUAGCUACAGGCUUAACACAUGCAAGUCGAGGGGCAGCAUUAUCUUAGCUUGCUAAGAUAGAUGGCGACCGGCGCACGGGUGAGUAACACGUAUCCAACCUUCCGGUUACUCGGGGAUAGGCUUUCGAAAGAAAGAUUAAUACCCGAUGUUGCGUAUCUUUCUCCUGAAAGAUACGCCAAAGGAUUCCGGUAACCGAUGGGGAUGCGUUCCAUUAGGCAGUUGGCGGGGUAACGGCCCACCAAACCUUCGAUGGAUAGGGGUUCUGAGAGGAAGGUCCCCCACAUUGGAACUGAGACACGGUCCAAACUCCUACGGGAGGCAGCAGUGAGGAAUAUUGGUCAAUGGACGCAAGUCUGAACCAGCCAAGUAGCGUGAAGGAUGACUGCCCUCUGGGUUGUAAACUUCUUUUAUACGGGAAUAACAUGAGGUACGCGUACCUUA